UACGUAGGGUGCGAGCGUUGUCCGGAAUUAUUGGGCGUAAAGAGCUUGUAGGCGGUUUGUCGCGUCUGCUGUGAAAAUCCGGGGCUCAACCCCGGACUUGCGGUGGGUACGGGCAGACUAGAGUGUGGUAGGGGAGACUGGAAUUCCUGGUGUAGCGGUGAAAUGCGCAGAUAUCAGGAGGAACACCGGUGGCGAAGGCGGGUCUCUGGGCCGUAACUGACGCUGAGGAGCGAAAGCGUGGGGAGCGAACAGG
rnacentral:rRNA from 1 species